UACGAGAGGCCCAAACGUUAUUCGGAAUUACUGGGCUUAAAGAGUUCGUAGGCGGCAUUGCAAGUAGGGUGUGAAAGCCCUCGGCUCAACCGAGGAAUUGCGCUCUAAACUGCAGUGCUUUGAGGAAGCUAGAGGUGAGCAGAACAGAUGGUGGAGCGGUGAAAUGCGUAGAGAUGUGGAGGAACACCAAUGGCGAAGGCAGCCUUCUGGGCCAACACUGACGCUCAUGCACGAAAGCGUGGGGAGCAAACAGG
rnacentral:rRNA from 1 species